AGGACGCGAAAAUCACUAGAUUUCAUUGUUCGUUUAGUUGUCAUAUAAACUGGGACGAAGACGUGUAAACUGGCGCGAAGCUGGGAUGACAUUUCGAGAAAAAAUGAAUUUAAAGAAGACAAAAAUUAACAAACCUAUGGAAAAAAUCAGACAGUGUCAGCGUUUGAAAAGCGUUUGAUUCUGCUAACGUGCAUCGUGCUACUAAAAAAAUCGACGAGAAACUGGAAACAAGAGUGAGGAGUACUCGUAAAAGUGAAGAAGAAUUAGAAAUUUGUGCACGAGGUCUCGAUAAAAAUUGUUCCUGUACUACAAUCGAAAAAGAUGAAUGAUAUUCUUUGUGUACAGCCGACGGGUAAUCUAAUUCCCGGUGAUAGUGACGUUACUUCUUAUCUACGCUUAAUCUAAUGAUCAAUUUUCUAUGAACACUCGACGAGAACAUUCGCAAAACUCACUUAUCUCGAAAAUUACUUAUCCAUUAUCGAAAAAAUCGAAUCGAAUCGAACUAAACUAAACUCCCAGCCAUCGAGAGUUCAACGAUAUCCUCACGAUGCAUCUGCGGCACGAUGUAUCGAGCGUGAAAGAGCCCCGGUUCGUUCGCACGUGCAGUUAACGUGCCGCAGUCAUAUUGGUCCGGAAGCGUGCGUGCGGUAUGUGCGUACGAUUGAAGGAAACGUUGAACGUAUUCGCGGCACUCCGGUUCCGGCGUUCGGUUGUGCUCGUACGGCUUCGUUUGCAUAGAAGUGCGUGCGUAACCUAUGCCGGAGGCCACGUAAGGUGGUGUACACGGCAUUCGGAUCGUCCCGUCGCUUUGUUUACGCUCGUAUCGGGCCGAUGAUCGAGCAUCGUGUACACACCGCUUCUUAUCCACCGCUGCGUUAUCCACCUUCGAAAUGGCGCGUGUCGCGUGACGAGAGCCUCCUCAGUCGGUUUUCGCGCGUGCAACGCUUCCGAUCGGACCGUCAGACGCGUGUCGACGAUCGUCGCCGUCGCCGUCGUCGCCUCCUACGUUCUCUCGAUCAUCCGACGGGAAAGAGCUGCGCUCACGUGCGCCUCUGUUCGACCACGGUACGUGCGUGUGUGUGUGCGCGCGUGUGUGUACACGUGUGUGUGUGUGUUCGUUGUGUCGCGUCGGUGGUCGUGGCACACGUGUGCCUCGUUGUCGGUUACGCGAAUCUAACCUCAUUGUGUGCAUUCGUCGUGAGAGUUUGCCGCGUGUGACCUCUUCCGUGACUAGGAAAAUGAGACGAUCCAGUGGUAACGCGUUCUGAGGAUCAUCGAGGAGGAGCGGCAACGGGCAACCAGCCUCGCAUCGAUCCGGUGAGUUGUCGAUUGUUCUCUUUCUCCCGAUUGUCUUUCGUCGGUACAACAUAGCGACAUUCCGAAAUUGUUAUUGCCAACUUUCUUCUCGUAUCGAAUACUAUCUUCGGCGUAUAUAUUAAAAAUGAAUAUUCGAAAAUACGCCAAUCAUUCAAUUUUCUUGGAAUAUUUUACUGAAAGGAGAGAUACGGUAGAGACGCGUGAAAGAGAAUGAAAACAAAGGAAAAAAGGAAAACAAGAGCGCGUCACCGCAGGGUUAAGGUCUGAUUCUAUCUAGUUUGGUUUGGUUUUCGCGUUUCCUGGAAUUAUCCUCGACCUGGCUCGAUUGUUUUGGAGCGUGAAAGGUGCGCAGCGGCCUUCGACUGCUCGUUGGAUAUCUGUGUCAGGUCGGCGGAAAUUCUUAUUUGCGUUGUUGGCCAAGGAAUGUCGUACUUUCCCGGGCAACCCGUGCGUUUUCGAUUUUACUCCCUCUCUCUCUCUCUCUCUCCCCCUCGCUUUUUUUUCUUUCCUCCGUCAAACGUUUGCCUUUUGUACGUUGUCUCUCGCGCGAAUGGCGACCACGUGUUUACGACUCGCUCGAUGAUCGUCGCCAUGUUUGGAAACUGCGUACAGUGUAGGCGAAUUAGAAUUAUCGUGAAGGGAUCGAUCGGUUUUUGUCCUCGUUACGUACGCGCAUCGAUAAUCGUCGUAUCGACGAGAAUCAGGAUCGUCGUUAUUUUAUGUAACUUGUGCUGUAAGGUUAUAUAGAGAGAUAGAGUAGGCUGGCAGCGGAAGUACAGGCUGCUGAUAGCGGAACCCGAGGUGAAUAUGGAGUUGUUCGUGUGUACAUUCCGAUGGAAAAGUUAUCUCGAUGUCGCGAGAUAUAUUCGCGUGUUUUUUGAAUUGCGAUUUUUUUCCUUUUUCUUUUUUGAGAAUAUCUUGGAAUAUCUUAUCUUUAGGAAAUAAUACAAAUAAUCGAAGCUGUUUUUUUUUUUUUUACAGAUUUGAUUAAUAAUUAAUUCAAGGGAAAUUCUGUACAGUGGUUACAGAAAAUAUUUGCGCAACGUUAUAUUUAUCAAAGAGAUAUACGGUUGUAUCUUGUAUUGUUUACACGAUAUGAUAAUUUGUCGAAAAUGAAAUAUAGAAUCUGGUAAAUAGAACGGGUUUAUUGAAAAAUAAGCUGCCCCUAAAAUAUCGUGUCAUAAAGAUAGAAAUCUAGAGCAAGUUGUAAAUUUGUUAAAAUUAACCAAGUUGCAAAACGCUUGUAUUUCUCGUAAUUUACGUGAUCCUCGUGAAAGGAAACAAAUCAAAAUCAAAAUAACUCAAUAAUCAUUGGCUAUUUUUAAAAUUUGUUUAUUAUUACUUUAAGAAUCACAAGCGCCUACUGUUAGAAGAUUGCAGAAAGAUCUCCGCACAAAGCAUUUUACUAUGUUUGCAUCUUCAACAACAUAAUUCACUAAAAUCUGAUCAUCAAUCUCCUAUAAUUCUUCCUAGCAAACUUUUCAAUCUGAACAAUGUUAUUAUAAGUUGUCCAUCACGGAUCCAUUUAAUCUUUCACAUUUAGCCCGGUCGAAACUUAUAUAAACUCUAAAAGAUUAAUCUAACGAUCGGAUCAAGCACCACUCGAGACAUACUCUUGAUUUAUUCCUAGAGUCGAAAUCUUAACCGAGGCCUUAAUUUUAUCGCAUCGAUUUAUUCACGUCGAAACGCAAAUAUAAAAAGAACGAUAUAUAUAUAUAUAUAUUUAAAUUUUGCACAAACUUUCGCAAUCCAAUGACUUGGACAACAAAAUAUAUCGAAGUUUAACGAUCCAAGAAUUAUUAGAGAAGGAUUAAAAAAAAAAAGACAAUUUACUUUUCGCUUUUUCCCUUUUUCUCACAGAAUUAACCCCGCAUACCGCAAGGAUAGCCAUCAUUCGCCUCGACAAUCGUGGGGCGAUUCGAUUAACGUCUCGAGGCCGAUCCCUUAACGAUUCUCGUUCGGAUCGGACGAUCGCGUCCCACCAAGAUUUUCCAACAAGCAUCGAUACCCUUUCUCGCUCGAUUCCCGGAGAGGCGUAAAAUCUAGACCGAUACUCUAUCGUUCUAGACGUGUAUCGUGGAAAGAUAAGAUAGCGGGUUCCCUCGGUUAUCGACUCGGUUACACUUAGUUCACCUGCGUCCUAGGCACUCUUAUCUCGCCGUUUUAUCGGUGACCCCUGGCUCCGUGCACGGCCGGCCAAGAUAUCGGUCGUGGAACGUCCCCUGCCGCGAUACCCGUCGCUAUAAUGUCUACAUCGGAAUGGUGAACAACACAGGGACGACCCACCUACCUUCCAGCGUCCGCUCGUUCCAAUUUCCAGGAUUGGCUCUCUCUCUGUCCUCGUCCGUCCCUCUUUCACCUACCUUCUCGCCACUCGGUCUUAUUCGCAUUCCCCGCCAUGCAGAUCUUACCUUUCCACCGGUGUGCGUUCCUCUGCUCGCCACCCCGAGCCACCAACAGUCGCCUCUCUAUUUCUCUCUCUCCCUCUCUCCCUCUCUCCUUCUCUCGUUCCACCGAAGAUGCGAUCUUGUCCACCGACGACCACGCCUUCACGGUGUACACGGAGCGUGCAGAGAGAGCGUGCGUCGAUCUCGUUUCGAGAGGAGACCGGCGUGUGUCGUUCCUUCUUAUUUCACCCGGAGACGAGAGAAGCGGGGGAAGGGGAAAGAAGAAGAAGAAGAAGAAAGGAAAAAAAAGAGGAGAGGAGAGGAAGGAGAAGAAAGAAGGAGAAAGAGAGAGAAAGAGAGAGUAUCGAGCACACUACGGGUGUAUAAACCUGAAGAGCCGCGUGGCGCGAGUUUGAUGAUGAUGAUGGUGGUGGUAGUUGUGGAGAGCUAUCGCCCCGGUCACAAGGCGACACUUUUGCAAGGUAAAUCUCGUUUCGUCGUGCGGUUCUCUUCUUCUUCUAUUUAGUGGACGGACUUCCGUCACUAGGGGACGUUCCUCGUCGUGGUUCGAUGCGCCGCAAAAAAUCGGCUGCGCUCGGCUGGAACGUCAUAACCGCGUGCACAGGCUUAUACAGGCUGAUAUCUCAGGUUUGAUAUUUGAUUCACGUAUAUAUCACGCUGGCAGAUGAAGAAAGAUGGAAUCGACGAGUGAAUGUAAUUCACAUUUCGAUACUUUUUCUUGAAAUAUCAAAAAAUCUUCAACGACCGUAUUCAAGCAAAAUGAUCUAUCUUCUUUUCCACCUCGAAAGAUGGAAUUAAUAAGAGAGAACAAGGAAAUUCGUGAAUCCGGAUUGGUUAUUUCGAUGUCCGUUGCGCGACAGGUGCAUCCUCGCUCUCUCGCGAUGGUUUCAGAGCUGGUGGCUGCCUCCGCUCGAUUUUACGGUAACAUUGAUAAUUUACGAUCACGGCGGAUGGAAAAGCCGCGGGACCGUGGAACGAGCAAUCUCCAUGCUUUGCUGCCGUGAGCCAGGAAAGCUUUAUCGGCCGUCGCGUCUCUUAUCCCGGUGCGUCAUUACCUUGAUAGCAGCGUGCGUGCAGCUCGAAAAAAAAAGCUUAUCGCUUAUCCUCUUCCAGGAAAUACGGCGAACACGGCGAUACCGCAGGGAAAUCGAAUCGUAUCUCGAUGAUUGCCUCAUACCUGGCGCUAAACCGAUUUUUUUCUCUUCCUCUCGUAACAUUUCUUUGUUUUUUUAUUUUUCCUUUUUUUUACUUGGAUCUUUCCUAUCCUCUUUUUCCUUUUUCUUUUCUUUUCCCUUUUAUUUUCUUUUCUUUUUUUUCGAUCAACCAUAUCGCUCGUGUAUCGAUAUCGCGUCGCGGAAUUCAGAGAAAAGAUCGGCAGUUUGUUUGCUAUGCACUCGAAUGUCGCUGAUGGCGCGGCGACGAUUCCGUUCGCGGGAUAGAUAAAGUUGGCUCGCGACCUUUCGACCGUGUUGCGAGCGUGAUAAAACGUAAUCGGUCAUCGGGUCGUUGUAGAUGAAAUCCCGCGAUAAGGGAGAAAUUUGUCGGCUGAUGGAAUUAAAGAUUGAAUUUUGUUUACGAUUCGUCGUGGUAUUUAUUUAUCUUUCUUCUUUUUACCCCGGUGUAGGAAGGUUUUUAAAAAGAAAUUUCGAUCUUGAGUACACGCGAAGCAGGCAAUUUCUAUCAUAUUUCAUCGGCGUUGAUCUCUCUAACACAUUUUCUUCGCGCGUAAAAUCUUCUUCGCGGUAAUAAUAUAUAUACACCAAAUUGUAAAGAAUCGUUCAAUAGGAUUUUCGAUCGAAAAGAAAACGGAUCGAGGUGAUCAUAAAUCACAGCGAUGGAAUUCCCUUCACGGAAUUCAUAACUCAUAAGUGAAGAGAACGUAUUUUGCUCACCAUAUAUAUAUAUAUAUAAUCAUCGGUUUAUAAGUACUGAAAAUCAUUUCCACGUAUAAAAUUUUCUUAUCUCGCUUCCUGUCGCUCGAAAAUUUCCAUUAUUCCUAAUGAAUCGCCAUUACCUUUCCAAAGUAUUCCAAGAUCUCCGGUCAGGAAGGAAAGAAAAAAAAAACAAAAGGAAAAAACCCAUCCAAUUUAUCCCCAAACUUCUACAUUAGCCGAAAAAGGCCAAGGGUUUCACCCAAGCCCCUGAAUCAAAAAAUUCAAUGAAUGAACACCGUUUCGACCCCCUUGUUCGUGCCCCGGCCCCAUUACGCGGUGGCUAAUAGAAACGCUUAACAUUCUCGUCGGGUAUUAAGAUAUCGACCAGGUCUCUCAUUAUGCGUCAUACGAUGGCGCCUAAUAUCACGGUGCACGAUCUCAUCGCUCUGGCCCCUCUCUCGCCCCGUCCAACACUUUUCGUACACCAGGUUUCUGGCUACCUUCUCCGUGUACCCUUCGUUGAUAGUCACCAAGUCGAGGCCCGGGUUUCUCGACUCGACUCGGCAAAGUCGAGGGGAGAGACAGGGGUGUGCGGCGGGUUGUAUAUGUGUACGGUUUGGCCGGCGAACAAGAGGGGCAGGUGGAAAGGUUUGUGCAACCUGUUGCUCCGUUCAGAGGAACGUAGGUAGGAUGAGAGUCGUUCUUGGUUGUGGGAUCGGCAUGAGACGCCGGAGCGGAGAAACGUUGUGCCCCUUGGGGUAUAGCAAUCACAAUGGGGCGAGUCUUCUUCUCUUGGUGAUGUACGUCGCUUUCUUGCCUUCUCUUCUUCUUCUUCUUCUUCUUCUUCUUCUCCCUGGUGGAUACGUACUUCUUCUUCUACUAGUAGUACUACCCGUGCUUCUUAUUCGAGCGCGUUGUCUUCUUUCUUGCUCUUCUCGUUCCUCGCUGUUCUUCUUCUCCUUCUUCUUGGACAUAGUGCCCCCGGGACACGAUCCCGAUCUGACGCGAUUUGCAUAAUUCCAGUAUCCCCGCCCAGCCGUUCAGCUGCUCAAUUAUUAGCUGGAAUUUAAGACGUGUUUAAGAAAAUAGCAGCUCGACCCGGCUGCUUUUUGCUUCUGCCGAUUCGAGUGGCUUCUCUUCCUUGCUCGCGGUCACGCCCUGUUCUCCAUACGUCCUCUUGAAACUCGUUGAAAGUGAAUCUUCGCUCUUCUUUUUCAUAAACUCGUUAAUAAAACGGUAACAAGUAAUCGUCGCAUCGUAUUUUCCUUUGCGAUUGAGAAACGAUACUUAUUGCCAAAUACUUUCGAACUCAACGUCUUCAUCUUCGAUCACAUAACCUAAAAAACCGUUACUCUAUUCGUCGAAAGAAAAAACCUGUCGAAGAAACGCAAACAAAGUUGUUGCAUUGAUAUUAUUAUUAUUAUUAUUAUAUUCCAAUUGCGAAUGAAAAAUAAAAAAAAAGAGAAGAAAAAAGAAAGAAAAAGGCAACCGGUGCGGGAAGUUUUACAUUCCUUCUCUCUGGUUUUACGAGUCCGUUCUGCGUUAGAUCGAACGAUAGCAGUGGAGCUGGCCAGAGUGAUACUUGGCCGUGGCGUUGAAUCAUUAUUAGGCCCAGACAACACUUGCCGUCAGCGGUGAAACGAGGCGAUACUCGUACACCGUUAUCACUGUUACACCGUUUUAUCAGCGGUGCGAUAUGGUAACGAGGUCUGUACCUACGGAUGUCUGUUGUGGUUUUUGCGCUCCACAUCUCGGACGUUUGUUGCUUGUUCGUUGAUUAAAACGUUUACGCUUCGUUUCACUCGCUGCAAUUGUGCACUCUCUGCAGCCGAUCGGCCAAAACAUGAAAUUCUUGCAAAUACCAACGGAAUUAUUGUUCCUCCACUUUUUACUCUUCAUCGUCAAUUUACUCGUACGAGUCAAUUAUUGUCUUCCAGGGAUUUAAUUAUUACGUUUUUUAAGGCGGAGGGAAAUUUUAAUCAAAGUUGAGAUUAAGAAUUUAAUUUAAAUUAGCUCGAUGAUUUACCAUUCGAAGCAGCAAAUAUAUGAAAGUAUUAAGAGUGGAUCAAUUGUAAUAUAUAUUCGAAAUUUUUAGUUACUUUUCAAUUCUGAUUUCUUUCUCUUCGUUAUCGAAGAAAGAAGAAAAGAAGAAUCUUAUUACUUCUCAAAUUUUCUCAUUAAAUAAUACAAAUUCCGAAAAUAAUAGUAGCCAUCCAACAGCGAGCAAACAACACGCCUAACAAAUCCAAUAAAGCAUGAAUCCAACGUGAACGAACCGGUAUAAAUAAAGUAAAACCCUGCAUCGUCUCCAAGAUAGACCCUUAAGCACGGGAUGUGCAACGUGUCAAUCUCGUGUGCACACCAAUUUCGUUGAUUAAAGCGCGCCUUCAUCGGUGAUAUCCUUCAUUAAUCUAUCGCUUCGGGUCGAGAGAAUCGCAUUCCGCACGAUGUGUGUCUCUGCCGGUCGAAGAAGAAUCGGAUGCGUUAAGGCACAUUCUCACUGGCCAGUCAGCCGCGAAGCGCUCCAAUCCUGACCCAUCCUUGCCAUCAAUAUACGAUUCAUUUCAUUGCCGUCCAUCCUUGGGCAAAUCCCCCCAUCCUCUCGAAAUAUUUUUCGCGCGCAUCCAUUCGUUUCACUUUUAACUUGAGAUCAUCCUAACCUCGAUAAUUUGCCGCGUGAUGUAUGGCAAACGCGACUAAACGCGUUCGUCGAUAUCCUUUUACUCCUUCCUCGUUCCCUUUCCAUCAUCCUUCCAAUGAUUUCCCUUCCCCCACCCGUCACGAACCUGUUACUCGUUCAACAGGCAUAUGUGCUGUGUUGCUUAUUACGCGUUGCCUCGCUUCAAUUUGUACCCGCUGCGAAGGAUUUCUUGGAAGGUUGAGCAGCGCACGGAAGUCGAGUAGAAACUGAAAUUGGAAGUGGGCGAAGAGGACUGUCUGACAGAAGUUGAAAAAAUCGGAUAGAUUGUGGAUUAUGAAAGUGAACGGGUCCAUUUCGUUUCGAAAGAGGUUUUCGAAAGAGGUGUCAAUGUAUUUCCAAAUUCACAAAUGCGUUCACAGAAUUACAUAUUAUCGUGUAACCGCUAUGAUGUAAUUGUUGACUGGACAGAAAAUAAUAAAUAAAAAUUUAGCUGAACGAAGAUAUUUGAUUAUACGUAAUUGUGCGUUUGCAAAACAUUUCAAGCAUGCGUAUUGAAGAAGGUUGAAUAAUAAAAGCACAAAUAAAAUUUCAGUGAACUUUAAAUUCUAUAACGAUACUUAUCGGGCAUAACUCAACAAUUCUCGUUAAUCAGUUUCGUGUGUAUUGGACGGUAUAUGGUCGGUGGGAACGCACCCUUAUAUCGGAAGCGAUGCAAGAAGCAGGGCGAGGCGCAUCGUAUCGCAUCUGCGUGCUCUCUUUAAAGGCGUUGGGCGUUCACCCCGACCUCGCCAGCCCGGUGCAACUGGUUCAAAUGCAUAUUGCCUAGCGCCGAGGUGCACUACUGGUAGCCUCCUCUCUUUCUCUCUCUCUCUUUCUCUCUCUCUCCCCCCUCCUUCCCGUAAUAUCUCUCCACUUAAUGGAGACCUGCGAUUCUGGACCUGCGCAACCUCGUUCUGUCUGCGCGCAACCCACUCUGGCUUUAUUUUGACAUUUACUGUCUAAUCGUUGGCUGAUUCUGCAUAGAUGACCGCAAAUCAAAUCGCGAGGUUGAUGGAGUAUGGCGAACGUGUUUCCGCGCUCGAGCCACGCGAAUCAAUAAUUGGUUGGCACGUAACAUGCGCGACGUUUGUAAAUUGAAUGCCGCCUUUUGUGACGGAAUUUUAAUUGACAAGUUGUCGCUUGUUUGAUAGCGUGGUUACCUUUGUGGAUAAUCAGGAUCGGUGUGAGAAGGAGGGACGAACGGGAAGGAGGAAUAAUGACGACAAAAUAAGAGAAACGUAUUAAUAGAGGCUCGUGUGCGAUGGAAACAAGACGAAUAAUCGAGAGGUAAAUUAGGUAUUAUUGGUGGACGGUUUAAUUUGAUGGGUUGUUUUUAUGGAUAGUUUGAAAUUUAAUGUUUUUGAGAUAUAUAUAAACAUUGCUAAUUGAUAUUGAUAAAGAAUACUUUUAUUUAUUAUCCUUUCGUGAUAUAAUUAUUAAUGCUAGUUUCAAGCAUGAUUUUCAAAAUUAACAAAAUAUAUAUUUCGUAGAAAGAUAUAAUGAUUCGAGUGUUGCGUAGAGUAAAAAAGUAUUAAAAUGAAUAUUAAUUAUAUAAUAUAGGGUAUUGGUAGUUAAUGGUCAUGUGGCGCUAGUAUCGGCGUGUAUGGUCGCCGUGAUAUGUAAUAAGGAUAAUUUAAGUAAUUAUACGAAUUUGAAAUUCUACAUAAAGAUAAUAUUUUAAUAUUUAUUUAGAGAAUCGAUUUUAAAGAUUCUAUCAAAAACGAAAAUCGAUUAAAGUUUAUUUUUAUUAUCAUUUUAAGAUCAUUAUCUAUAUUUUUAUUCUACCACGAUUAAAAAUCAAUCAAAGUUCUUUUCUCAUCCCAAAUAUUUGCUCCUGUAAUUGAAAUUCAAGAGAAUUUUCAAACAAAGGGCUUUGUCUCCGUUUAGUAUAAAUUUCCUUUUUAACGAUCGGUACCAGCAAAGCGCGGACUAUGCAACGAACAUAUGGUACUUUUCUGAUUGCACCGCCGCCACAAUUUCUUAGUUUAACCCUCUCUUCGCUAAUGGAUGCAAAAGGAUAAUGGCGGGGUAGCGCCGCUUCUGUGGAUUAUCGCAUAACAGAAGCAAGAAAGGGACGGAUGACCAUUAAUGGUACAGUGCCCCUCUCCUCUCCCCUUCCCUUCGAUAGUCUGCUUUUGUUUUAUCGGUACAAUUGCAAGUGGCCGCCGCGCAAAAACAACUACGAUCUGUAAUGUAUACCUUCGAACACAUGUGCUGAUCAUUGAUGAGAACGAUAAAGUCGAUAUACCGAUUCUGGAACGAGCGUGGGCAGUAUUUCGAACACGAUAAACGCCUUGUUCCGUUUUAAAUGUUUCGCAAUACUGGUUACGAUGAAUUUUCAGUAGGAAGGAAUUUCAGCGCGAUAAACAUCCUCGCGAACAGAUUCUUUUUCCACCAAAAUAUUUAUUUUAGAAUUCGUUGUUUAAAAUAUAUUUAAGAAAAAAAAUUCCGAAAUUUCUUUUCCAGAAAAUUCCUCAAAUUUUCAAAUUUAAAGAACUUUUCUUGAUUAGUUGGAUAACCUCGCUUCAAAUGUUGUAGGCAUUAUCGUUAACACGCUUGUUCACCAAUGAAAAAUCGCUCGUUUUAUUCGAUCAAAUCCGCCAUUAAAGUGGUCGACCGAAUCCAGGUAUUCGUAAGUAAGCGCGGAUAGCCGGCUUACAGGGGCAUAAGCACGGCGCAUGCCUGGAGCAACGUCGGCGGUUUUUCUGGUUCGCGAGGACCAGAAAGAAGUUGGCCGCAAUUAACGGCUCCGUAAAUUUACAUACGUCGGCGAUCGGCGGGGAUAAAUGGUCAGAAGUCGUCCUACGCCGCGUACCGACCGAACCUCCGGAUAAGUAAUCGCGUAAAUCUUCGACAGACAAAAAAAGGGCGGAUGUUGGUUUGAAAAGGGAACAAUUUCGUAAUUCGACGAUUGAUUUUCAGUGAUUUAUCUUCGGUUGAGAAUUAUCUUAUCUGUUUUUUUGACGAAACGAACCACAUCUUGAGAUAUCCUUUUCGAAUUUCUUGGGAUGUCGUUAAAAAUUUCUUUGAAAAUGGAAAUUUUAAAUGUAACUUGAUUUUUAAUCGCUACUUUUUUCAGGUUUUUAUAUAAAUAUAUAAAAAUAAUUUUCUUCUAAAUUAACUUCUUCGGUUAUAUUGUUAUAUCUAAUAGUUGUAUCUUAAUUUUGAAUUAAGAUACCUCAUUUUAUGCCAGUAACAAUUUACGUUAUCAUGUAUUAACCGUUUUAUCAAGUUUAUGGUGAGUUUGCAAAUAAUGUGUAGAUGUUUCAUAAGAUUCGAUAAGAAAGUUUUUCUUUUUUUUUUUUGUUUUGAAAGUAACGUUAUUUUUUUCCGUUGUAAUAUCUUGUUAUCAAGAAAACAAUGAUUCAUAAUAUGUGCUGUGAUAAUGUUUAGGGAAAUUGUCACGUUUAAUUCUGAUAAUACAUGUACAAAUAGAAUUAAAAAAUAAUGAAUUGAAAUAAAAUGCAAUCUCGAUAUGCAUUUUAUUUAUCAAAAUUACAAAUACAAAGAAAUUGUAAAAACAUAAAUAACAUGCUACUACAUGCUUAUUGUAUAAAGUCGAUUGAAAAUGUUUAUCACAGUUGAACAUCAUAAUCGUUAUUAUCAUAAUCAUAAUUGAUCUCGUUUCUGAUAUAAGGAUAAGGUUCUGUUUUAAUCAGAUCUAUAUUUAAUUCAAUUCGCUUCUAGAUAAUUCUAUCUUCUUCGUGUUAAUUCCUGUUAAAAUUAAAUUUCAACAAUCUGAUCAUCAAAACAAACAAUUAAAAUCCACAACAACAUUAUACAAUAUAAAAUAAUAAAGCAGUAUCAAAAAGUCUCACAACGAGCGUCUUCGACAAAAAACAUUUUUUAAUAAUAAAAUCAACUUUGUUCAGAAUUAAAUUUGUAAUGCACUUUCGAAAGACACGAUCCAUGCAGCGCGUAAAAAUUAAGAAAAAAAAAAGAUACGACACACAGCGUCAUUUUCAAUAUACCGAAACGUUUUUCCUGAAAUUUUUCUAACUUGAAUCGACUGCCGCGAACGAGAGCAAAAAGACAGCUCUCUCUGAGUGCAGCAGGAUCAGACCGAUCGAGAGUAGUCACGUCGAAGUCUCAUCGACGAAGAGUAAGGGACCACCUUGCCGCAGGGGUUGAGAAAGAGAGUCAAGAGAUUCGCUUACGGAAUGGUAGAAGUCUACCUACCGCGGUUCAGCUGAUUGCGAAAAUAAACAUUCAUUAUUGUAAUUACUUUCUGCGACGUGGCCGUGCCGAGAGCCAGGACGAGGGGAAGGAAACGGUGGAGAACGAGGAGACUGGGGGAGGGGGCACGAGGAGGAACGAGGAAGACGCGCCAACCUCGAGCAAUCUCUCUCCAACCGUAUAGUAUAUAUGUAUAUAGUAUGUAUAUAUAUCUGUAACGAGAGUUUCAUUGACGUGGUCGUCGUGGCGGGUUAAUUACAAAGUCGAACCGACGAUUCCUUCAUUAGCGAAAAGGAAUCGGUGAAUCCAAUUGGCGUGAGUCGGGGCGAGACGAAUCCUCGUUUGCAUCCGUUCGAACCGUUCUCCCGGGCCCCGAACGAUGCGUCUUCAUGCGACAUGGAUGGAUGGAAAAAAGAUUCGAUUCGUGGGGACCCUGUGAUUGAUCUGCUUUCGACCAUCCGCCUUCAUUGCAAGAAAUCCUACGGUUCCAGCUUUAAUUACCAUCCAAGGAUUUAUUUGUGAAACUUGUUAAUGGGGAGGCGAUCAAUGGAACGUUUGAGAUCGAGGUCGAUUCGGUGUGCAGUUCGUAGUUCGGGGGAGAGAAAAGUUUCUUUUUUUUAAAUGUUGUUUUGCGUCUAACAUGGAAGGAAAGCGACAUAACCUCAAAAUUGUGAAUCUCGUCGUUUUGUGAUCUCUGAAAUUAAUACUGAAUAUUUCUGUAAUUCUUGUGACAUGGGAUGUUACAAGGAUUGGAAUAUGUUUCUCAGAGUUGUUUAAUUUAAAAGGACGAUGACCUAACCUCAAAAUUGAGGUUUAUCGUUAAUCUAGGAGGAUUGGAUGAGGCGAGCAAGCGUGAAAAGUGAUGAUAAGUAAUGAGUGAUAAAUGGAUAAUUGUGAAAAACUAGCCUUUCUGAAAUUUAUCGUUUCCCAUUAAUAACGAUAUUUAUAGUUUAUAAUAAUGAUUUUCGUGUUUCGCUACGACGAAAUUUAUCAUCGCGCGUGAAUGAGUGAAUAGAUUUGCGCAGUUUAUAUUUGCAAUAAUUUAUAAUAUAAUUUAUAAUAAUAAAAUCUUCGUUUCUCGAAUCGGAAUAAAAAGCUGUAAUGAUACGAUUGGCAGAAACGAGUAACGAGUUCAUUAUUAUAUAGCGAGUGUUUACGUAAAUUGAUUACGGGAUCCUCGGCUUUUUUGUGCUGCAAUAAUACUCUGUUUUAUUGGAUUAUAUAUCUGUAUCUGGUCGAGAUGCAACGGAGUGCGGUACAAAUUGAAUAUGUAUUCACGUGAUUCAUGGUCUGGAACAUUGCGAUAACGUAUCACAGCUUGACAGCCUGUCGCAGUAGGUCAUUAAUAACUUAUUGCAUUGGGCGAAAUGAGCAAGGUUCGUGUUUCUGUGGCAACUUUUGAAAAAUGAAGAUGAUACAUCGGAAACGAAACGAAAUCAGUGAAUAUAAAUAUAUAUAUAUUCAUUCACUAUUUUAUUUUUGAAUUAUUCAGAUUGUUCUGAUAAAACUGAUGUUGUAAAAAUUAUUAUAAUUUUUACAAUUUCCAAUAUAUUUUUAUUAUAUUUUAUACAUUAUACGAAUGAUAUUACGUAUCAUAAAUGCAACAGUUUUCUUUCUUUCCUUAUAAUUUACUACGUAUCGUUUCACACAUUCCAGCGGAUAAUUAAUACGUUGAUUGGUACAAUGAUUCAUCGAAAACCGUGUUCUAUUAAUUAUAAUAUAACAUUGUUAUGGAAACUAUAUAAUUUGUGUAACGAAGAGAUUCAUAAUUAUAGGAGCGUCUAUUAAAUUUGUUCUAAUCGCUUCAUUUCACAUUUUCAUUUGCAUUCUUUACUACGAAAUUUGCACGCUAAUGUAUAUUUAAUCUCCUGUCUAAUUGCAAGCACAGUUUCGAUUCAUAUUUGCAUAAAGAAUUAUUCCGUUUCUUUUACACAGAAAUACGGAUUCGGUUUAUGAUACAACGCCGGUUCCCGGGCUAUUUUUAAGAUGCAGAGUUCGAGAUGCUUUUUUUAUCUCAGUACGUUCCAAUUCCAAAGAUUCUACAUACUGAUUGAACGGGAAAAAAAAUUAUCGGAAUUCUUUCAAGGAAAAAAAAAAUUUUCCAAAUUUCUAUUCUCGUAUUCUGUGCAUAUAAUAAUUUAUCCAAAUAUUUCAAACUUUCCAUUUACUAAUUUAAAAAAAAAACAUUCAUAUUAAAACAAUAAUAAAUUCGUUUUUCAAAGAUUUUACACAUGAUUGAACAGGAGAAAAGAUUAUCGGAAUUUUUUCGAGAAAAAAAGAAAGGAAAACGUCAUUUUCCAAAUUUCUAUUCUUAUAUUCUGUAACAUCCAAAUAUUUAAAUUUUCUUCUUAUUAAUUUUUUUCUUGAAAAAAAUUCCAUGUUUAAACAUUCAUAAUAAAACAAUAAUAAAUUCAUUUUCCAAAGGUUCUACAUACUGAUUGAAUAGGAAAAAGAAUUAUCGGAAUUCUUUCGAGAAAAAGAGAAAGGAAAACGUCAUUUUUCAAAUUUCUCAUCUUAUAUUCUGUACAUGCAACAUCCAAGUAUUAAUAAACUUCAAUUUUUUCCUUCUUCCUUCAACUUCCUAAAACCUUCCUUUCACCUUCACAUUCAUAUUAAUUUUAUUCUCAUUUCCAAGAUAAACUUACGCGAAAUCGUAGAAAUUAAAAGGAGCGAGGGAUGAGUCGCUGUCUAAGAGUCAGUCUGGAUUUAAGAUCGGUUCUGGAGAGGUGAAAAGGAAAAAGGGGCGGCCCGGCCCGGAUCGCGCCGGAUAAACCCCGCGUCUGGCGUGCACACUGCCGUGAAUUAAUUAUCACCCGUGGGCCCCGUGUUCGUACUUUUAAUCGGCCUGGCCCCGACCCCACGGCCCACCUCGUGCCUCGUUUCCACCUAUAAAAUGUUCCCUGUGCGGCAGUAUUUCACGCCUGUCCACGCGCGCCCUUUACGCCACGGGUAUAACGCGACAGCCGAAGGGAUCUCUCUUUCUCUCUCUUCGACGAAGAGAAAGAGGAGAACUUCUUCUUCUUCUUCUUUUCUUCCUCCUCUUCUUCUUCUUCUUCUUCCAUUCCUCGGCUCGAUGUCCCCGUGACUCGUUACAGGUGCACGAGGUUCACGGGUUUGCGCCCAAUGUUCGCAAUAUUGUACGGUUAUGCGCGGCGUUAACGCGGCCGCUUGUCCACGGCUCGUGUCGCGUUUAUGCGAGCGACUGGCCGUUGGAGUCACGGUUGUGCUCGUUUGCCCGGACCGAUCGAGAUAAUCGACGUUGUUCGUGUCUUUUGGAAGGAUGGCUGCAUUUGGCAAUCCUUGGGCGAGGAUUCUUAGGUUCCUUGGACGAAUAAGCGUGAGAAAAUUUAUUGGUUUAAUCGUAGAUUGGGUUAUAAUUGGAACAAUUUUGCAGUGACGAUAAUUGUAUUAUAUUAAGAGAGAUCAAUGCAUUUGGAGAUAAUUUUAUGUGAUAUUCGUGAAUAUUUAUAACUGAUAUGACGCUUGUUUCGUUAGUUCAAAAGAUCCUGUAUAUUGGUGAAUAUCGUUUGUAAAAGAAAAAGAGGGAAUUUUUGGAAAAAUUUAAUGGGUAGAAAAUAAGGAUGCGUUUAUAACGGUUUCUUUCAAAGUUGGCGCCUUCACCACAGGUAUCGAUUCGUUCUUGUAAAACGGAUUUCGUUUUAAUAGGCAGUUGCUAUGGGAUAAACGGGAACAAUAUUACCCUUGAUCGCUUGGACAUGACUGAGAAAAUCGAGCGCGAUUACGUGCAAUCCGCUGCUGAUCUACUUGAAACCGAAUGCGGUAACAAAUUGAUAGGAAACUCCUUUUACGGCUAAUGGUGGUACACGACGAAAGAUCCCUCUCUCUUCUUUUUUUUUUUCUCCUCUGGUAAAUGGGUAUGAUCGAGAAUCAUGUUCCUUUCUAUCGAUAUACGUAGUUCGAAGCAAACAGAUAUAGAUUCCUUUUUGAUAAGUAAUCGUUCCAGCGAAAUAAAAAAAUCUUAUGAUAUGUGCAUUGCAAAAUAUAUUAACAUUAAAUUUUCAAGUAGAAAAUUUAUAAUUGUCAACUUAAUCGAAACUGUUGGUGGUAUAACUGGUGAAGCGACACUAGCGCCACGUGACUAUUAACUACUAAUAUCCGAUAUAUGAUCAAAAUAUGUUACCUAUCUAUUUAUGUAUAUAUUUUCUUUUUUUAAUUUGUUUUAUUUUUUCAAAUAAUAUAUUUUUCUGUAUGAAAACACGAAAAAAUAAAUCCAAUCAAAUCAAUCAAAAUUAUGAAACGUUCUCACGACGAUAUACGUAUGUACAUAUAUUUUUCUUUCUUUUUUCUCACCCGUUAAUAUCAGACUCUUCCAAUAGAAGCCCUUUUAAAUCACCUUCCUCGAAGUGGUAGAAGUCUCGUUUACCUUUCUAUCGCUCACAAUCUCUCGCCAAUCGGAAUUCCCCAUUGAUAUUCAAUCGAAAGUGUGUCGAACCGAAAGUGACACCUCGGUUGAGAAAAAUCGGCUUCAUGGAGGCUCUCAUCUAGCACAUGCUAGCACAUGCGGUUAUUUCGAACCAAGGGACCCUAGGGAAUGCAGUUGUACCGGUCUCUCGUUCUGAUAUUCUGCGUUUCAAUCCGGUAACACGCGCCGAUAUCAUUCCUCAUACCGGUCCGUGUAAUCGUUAAAUCGAUUGAAAAAUCCCGAGAUUUUAUUAUAUUGGGCUGGUGAAGUUAUAGUAUUGGAAAGUUAUAUAUCGGUUAUUAUAUUGAAUAUCGAAGUUGUUACAGCAGAAAACUUAUGUUUUCCGAUUCUUGUAUGAUAAUCCUGGGAUAAUGAAUGAAUAUUUCGAGCACAAUUAAACUUCGUAACACGAGACUAAAAUAUCAAUAACCGAAGAUCGUAUACCGAUAAAGAUAAUGUAAGAUAUAUUAUGAUAAGAAAAGAGGAAUAAAAGGGGAAUGAUACGUUUCUUCUCUAUUCUCUGAGAAUUUUUUUUUUCCAACAACGAGCUUGUAAAUAACGAAGAUAAACGAUUAAUUAAAUACAAAUACAGAGGCAAUAACUUUUUUCUUUUUCGUAAAAUGUGAAACUCUUCUCGUCAAUGCCUCGACAAAUCUAUUCCAAGGUUGAAACGACGACCAAAAAAAAAAAGAAAAAAGGAAUUCUCCGUGGAAUAAUCUCACGGAUUCAGAUCAUAAAUCGAGCGAUCGUUUACGAGCGCGAAGGCUCGAUAAAAGCGGAAAAAUUUCCAGGGAAAUAAUCGUUACCAUAUGGAAGAUGAAUGGCACGGUUCACAAUCAUUAUCCGAUAUCGGUACAAAGCAUCGAAGAAACUGCAUCGGCAAACAUUUAGCAUCGGUCGUAUCGGGGAAACAGGAUAUUCGUUCGACUAGAUACUCUCGCAUCGCUGCCUCGCGAUAAUCUUAUCAAAGUGUAAAAACUAAUAGCGGAAUACAAAGUGCGAUCACAUCGCUUGUAAAUCGGUUAAAACGAUUUUCAAGAGGAAAGGAACUUCGAUCGAGUGUAUUCCCUUUUUAUUACGCGAUAUUUCAUUUAUACGAUCAACGUUUUUCAAUCGAUAUUUUUCUUUUUUUUUUGCUAAUUUGUCCAUACAUUGAUCCCUCCCCUCCCCUUCCUCGAUCCUGCUCGAUAUAUUUAAUUCCUUCUUAUCGAGUACAUUUUCAAACCAUCUCAAACUAUCUUUUAUUUUUACUUCUUUUACUUUUCUUAAUCUAACACAAGAUAUAUUUCUAGAAGCUUUUAUUUUUUUCCGAACACUUUAAUCGAUCAUCGAUCGUACCAUGCAAAAUAGAACAAGUAUGCGAAAAAGAAACUGGAAUAUUUCAUCACAAGAAUACUCAAGAUAUUUGCGCGUAACUCCAUUCGAUCCAAAAUCCCACACCGGUUAUAUUAUCCACGCGAUCGAUUCGAUUGCACCACUGCAAACACUCGUACGAAAUAUCGUAGAGCACGUUGUUACAGUCCACGUUGAUCGCGUUCACGGUAAAUCAACGCGUGUCGAAGAUAAACGUAUGUCCCCGCAUUGUCUCCCCCGUUCUUACCGAUCUAUUAUUCCGUGUACCGCCAUUAUCCACCUGCAACCACAUUCGAAAUUGCGUGCGCACGCAGCAAGAAAUGGGCACGGAUCGUGGCAAUUAAUCCAGCCUAGAUGAACGAUCGGCUCGAGUUUCAGAGAGCAAGAAUUUACAUUUCGCUCCUCUUGAUCCCCGGAUCACGCCGCACUCGAAUAACGAAGAUAGGAAAAAUUCGAUAAACCGAUCGUUCUAUUAUAAUUAUCCGGGCAAAAUGUAAUACAGCGGAUUUAUAUCGGCAAUUUUAUUGGAUCGGCAAUUAGUUAGGUACGAAGUGAUCGUCGUCUCUCCCACGGGUCGAGGAAACACGCGCUACCGUACUUGGUUUGCGAGGAGCGUGUGAAUCGAUUUUGAGAACGAUACUGGUUGAAAACGAGCUCUGUGGAGAAAAAUAUAUCGAAUCAAUUCCAUCGAGAACGCCUCAUUAAAGAAAAAAGGGAAAGUUUCAAUAUUCCAAUCAGAAUAUCAAAUCGCAUUUAUUCUAAUCGUCACCUCGUAUUAUGUACUUUCAUUGAGAAUUGAAGAGAGACUAUUUCAGAUCGAAUCAAUAUUCCCCUUCAUCCGCCAAGCUUAAUAGAUCGAGGAAGCAUCUCGAGGAUACCAUAUUGAAUUAACGAAAUAUUGGCCGGCAUUAGCCUGGCAAUAUCUGAGGCGAUGCCGUAAUUUGUCUAGGCUGGAUAGAUAUAACCGUCAGAGGGGGGUUAUUAAUUCACCUUUUAUGCAAUCCUUGCAUCCUCAUCGCGACCUUUGAUUUUCAAACCUCACACGACACCUCUCCAACACGUGUCCGUUCACGCACACGUACAUUUACACACGAUUUUAAGGUCGAUUCGCCGCUAGAUACCGCCAGUGGGUGGUCACGUUCGCUAUUUAAUUAAUUGAAAUGUUCGGUAGCCAAGAGUCGUUACACUCGUCGUGAUCGAACGCAACUCGUAACGUUGUGGAAAACGUUCCCCUUCUGGUAUAUUAAUUAGGCGGCUACCUGCUCGAGGAUCCUGCCAGCAAUUUGUCUUGAUAUGCCUUGGUAAAAUACUAAUUUCGUCCGCGAUCCGUUUCGAGAAUUCCCCAAUGGAUCUUUCUUGAUCGCGUGUGUGUUGCGCGGUGGUUGCUCGCCUCUCGGAGGGGAGAUAUCGCGAUACGUUGUCGAUCGGUUGUCGGCCGAUUCAUGUCGGUGGUGUGUCGGUGUGGAGACGUAUAUAGAUCCUAGAGAAGUCGAGAGUGGAUCUUGUUUAAUUAAUCGAAUCAAUGGGGGUAUAUAGGCCCGGUUGCCUAGGAUCUUUAAUGUUACAUCGAGUCGAGUCGAGUCGCGUGUGUUAGCAGACCGAGUUACGCUCUGGAAGAUGUUGCUUAAUUCGAGGUGAUAUAUUGGUCGAGCGAUGCUAAUUAGGAACCUCGUUCGAUUCGCGAUGAUGCGUUUCUUUCUUGUUCUUGUUCGCGUGUGUGUAUCUUAUAUGCUUUCCACCUCGCUUCGUGAUUCGAUCGAUGAGUUGCGUUAAUUUGUUCGCGAGAGAAGGACACGUCGGUCUAGGUACAGAUGCACGAGCAAUUUAUUUCGAUGACUUUUUUCCAUCGAUAAGAAUUUUUACCCCGAAUAAAAGAAAAGUAUCCUUCAUUUCUUCUUUCGACGAAUUUCUCAAAAUUUUCGAAAAGUACCAAAGUACCAAAGAAUCGUUUAAAACAGAUAGAAAAAGAAGGAAAGAGAGAGUGGAGGGGAAAAGGACGAAUCGCACGCACGAUUUAUCAAAUAUAAAAAGAGAAAAGGCUCUCCUCGUGUCCGUCGCUUCCACUUAAAAAUCAUCGUUGCAGUAGAUUGCGCCGCUCGACGUCAGACUUCCGCGUCAUGUAUCAAACUGCGUAUAAGAGUAAGAGAGAGAGAGAGAGAGGGAGAAGGAGAAUUUUUAUCAAGUUUUUCAAGCGGUGGAUCGACUUUAUCCGCUCGUACGUGGUCCAGAUCACGCUCAGAUAUGCCGGUGCCCGGUAAUGAAGGUACGUUUUAGUGACGUUCGCGAUAUACGUCGCAAACCGCCUCGUUAAUUAACCGGCCGGAACUCGAGCGCCAUCACCGCGUGCUAGUAAAGCAAUUAUUUAUUGGCAUGUAUGGGCGACCCUUUCUGUCCAACCGCUUAACUGACCAUACGUUUCUAGCAUACGACGACAAGUACUACGAUCGUUGGAUGGGGAGGGGAGGGAACACGGUGAACACGUUUCGUCCAACACGCUUCUUUUUUUUCUUUCUUUUCCGGAAAUUACGCAUACGAUAAUAGAUACGCGUGCAAACCUCCUCCUUUUAUCGGUCACGCACAUAAUUGUUCUCGAUUUUCUAUGUCUCUAUCGGCUGGAGUAGACUCCGCUUUUUGCGACCGUCCUCGGCGAGCGGGGCAAUUUAUUACCGCGCAAGUAUUUAAAGUAUUUCUUGCGUCCGGCCGCUCUUCCGACGGAAUUAUUGGAAAGAAUUGGGUGUUGAGUCGAUACGCGUUUCUUGCGUGUUCUUCGUAAUAUAUUGGCUCAUCGGUCGAUUCGAUUUUAGUUGGAAAGAUUUUUUAGUAAUAGAUAUCACGUAUAGAAUUUUAACUAUUUUAGCGUGCGAUUGGAAUAAUAAAUUUAUCUGGAAAUAUUAAUUAAUUUUACUUUAAUAUAAGUGCAAGUUCAAAAAGUGUUUGGUUAACUAUUGGAGUGUUCUCGUGGGAGGAGCUUUGGUUUAAUUUAGUGCCAGCUCGAUAACGCUAUUGGUAACCCGUCUUGGAACGUUUCUGAAAAAGAUAUACUUCAGAGGAUCUCAAAAUUAGUUUCACGAUUUGACAUUGACUGUGUUAUUGAUCAUCGAUCAUCAUAAAUGAAAUAAUUUAUUGUUUUUUCUAUGUGCUUCGAAAGUUUUUUAUCAAUAAAAUUGAAAUUAAUUCUU